GUGGACCGCCUCUGUGGCUGCCUCAAGGCCUGUCGGAGGGCGAGGAUGUGGAAGGGCAAACCCGCGGCCACGCAUGGGAACCGCCGGUGGAACAGGGCUGUCUUUAUCGCCGCUUCCAUCCGGAGUGAAACGUGGCAGAUUUCCAGCCGGAGCUCUAGAGGCGAUGGUCUCCUCACUUCAGGCAGCUAAAAUCGAUUUUUGUAAGAACGCAGUGGGUACAUAAAGUCAGUAAUGCUUAGGAAGAGGGGCUUUUCUUUUAAUGAGACACAAGUAAAUGAGAACUACCACUGCUUACAAGUCUCCGAAACCUUAAAGGGACAUUAUCUUGGUUUUGGUUCAGGCAAGCGCUUUUCCUCGUUAGCCAGAAUGCAUAGGUUCUGGAUCUCUGAGAGGAGAAAACCUAGUUUUGACUUACUUAGCUACUUAUGAAACGACUGUAUUUUGGUAAACUCCUCUGUGGAAGUUUUUCUCCCAUAUUUUACAUGUCUUGUACUAAGGGUAUUUAAGUGGUUUGUCCCAAGAUUUUGGAAAGUUACGAUUAUACCGUGGCUCUCUAAAUACUUUGUUUUUCAUAGAUCCAGUACUUUGCAAAUGUUGUCUCUGCUCUUAUUACUUUGUCCGAAAGGUGGAUUCUUAGCGUCUCACGUUGUAAUACGAUAUCGUUUUGAGACAUCUGGUACCUUUAGGUAACAUUUAGGGGGCAUCCCUUUAAACUUUCCAUACUGGAGAGAACCGUGAGUCGUUUGGUUUCUCUUCCUAAACUUUCUAUACCGGAGAGAUAAGUGAGUCGUUUGCUUUCUCUUCCCAUCGUAGUCACUUGAAUUUGUUACCACUACUAAAUGUUACAAAGGAGUGAUGUUCUCAAACUACCUUCUACCUUCUAAAUUUCAAGAGAGUGGCUUUGUAACUCCCCACCCCCCAUCAAAGUUUUAAACAGUUUAAAACGGUCCUUUAGGUUGGGGAAGCAGUUCUCUCAUGUAUGCACUGUAUGAGCUAGUUGGUUAAUUUAAGAACCCAACGCUACUGUGAUUCCUAAUCCGUGCCAUUAACUGAGACCACUUAGUUCUGCUUCCAGCCUCUCAUCUCCCAACAGACCAGACUGACUUAUUUUUCUCAGCAAUCUCAGGACAAUACUCCAAAAGAGCAAAGGCCUCUUAAGACCUCGUCGUGGAAACCACACACCUCUCUGGGGCGACCGAGGCUAAAAAUAGAAAGCCAGGUCCUCCCACUGUGCGAACAGAUCCAAGCUCCAUCACAUCAGACUUGUCAAAUUAAGUCCCCAGACCAAGCCUCAGUUCUUCACCAGGCUUACUUCCUGGUGCUUCCGUGUUCUGCUGGGAGAACAAAAGGCGAGGAAGAGCUGGGGUACUUGCUCAGGUAAAUCUCAUGUAGUUUGUUCUCUCUCAGAAGCUGUCUCCCUUACACCCAUAAAAAUGAUUGUCAUCUGACUACUAUCUGAACCUCCUUCCACCAUGUGGGUCCUGAGGAUUGAACUCAGGUCCUCAGGCUUGGCAGCAUGCAUCUUUACCCACUGAGCCAUCUGGCCACCCCUCAGCCUUCAGUUUUCAGCUCUAAGAAAUUACCUCCUCCAGAAAAACAAUCUCUCUGCCCCCAGCUAAAGCCAUUCAGUGCAUUAGUGGUGGUCAGGACCUGAUCUCUCAGCUACCUUUAAUUUUCUAUUGUUUCUUGAAGUGUCAUUCUCCCAGUGUGCUAACUGGAUCUCACCUUAAAGAAGGGCCUGUUCCUGAUUACUUUUUGUCUGUACUGACAUACUUGGAGGGGCACCUUGACAUCUAAAUAGGAUGCUUCAUGAGUAAGCUAGGGGAUCUACAAGCAAAGGUCUUACUGCCUGGACAGAUGAAGCCUGCUUGUAAGUUAUUGUUGACCCUCGAUUCCAGUUAACUUCUUCUGGGUCUGUUACAAGUGGUCCCAGCUGGAGUGUCAUUGACAAUUGACGGUACAGACCACUCGGAAAACUCUCCUGGUAAUCACUAAGUACUAGAUUGAAACCUUUUUAGGGCAGAUGUCAGCUUCAUUCUGUUCUUUGUAAAUGAGGACUAUAAAUUAGUGUAUAUUAGAAAAAUAAAAUACAAAUAAGACCAUAUAAAAUCAAUCUCUCUCUCUCUCUCUCUCUCUCUCUCUCUCUCUCUCUCUCUCUCUCUCUCUCGAUACUGCGCUGUUUAGUUUUAAAUUUAAAAAGAACUUUAGAUGUGUUUUCAAAUUUUAACUUUUAACAGCUGUCAUCUAAGCACACUGGUUUACUCUGCUUCUUAGUUUUCUGUUUUUCUCCGUGAUUACUCAGAAUAUAAUGCUUAACUCCAUCUACUUCACAGACUUAAGGUCAGAGCCAGGCGUGUUGGUGCCUCUUGUAAUCUGAGCUGCUGCUUGUAAUCACAGCAUUCAGGGGGCUGAAAUGGGAGGAUCCGACAUUUGAGACUAACCUGGGCUACAUGUAGCAAGUUCCAAUCCAGCCCAAGCGAUAUAACAAGACUGUUUUAAAGGAUGGACCAAAAAGCAGAACUUACAAAGUCUUAACUUCCUGGUGAUGCAUAGGGGUGUGUAGAAUUAUUGGAAAUACAAAAAAAAAAAAAAAAAGUUAGGCAAAUUCUUGGAUUUUGCAAUUGGGGAAAAGACCAAGUAAACUGGACACUUGUCAGGUGAAAGUCACACAGUGUGGCUUUGGAACCGCAGGAAGGAGUAAAAACUACUUCAUGACGCCUUGAAGUGGAGCCUUAGCUCACGCUUCAGUUGAGAAUUUAGUGUCUGCACCUGCACUCUAAUUUCAAGUGAGUGGCAGUGCUCUCUUAACAGCUUUCCGUGAGAUGACAGCUGGAGUAAUAGCAAAUGCUUCAACCUGGACUACGUCCUGAGCAUGGGUAAAGAUUACAACAGUACAUUGUGGUGGGACCUAAAGCUCUUUAACAAAGCUCCUCAGACCUGGUUAUGCAGUCCUUUGUUCAGCUCGAGCAUCUCCGUGUUUAUAGUCUUUCCUGGAAACUAUAGAGUGAGCUGUGCACCCUUCAAUCGGAGACACUCAUCACCCAUCUGGCCACAGUUUGACUCUCUUCUCCGAGUAUCCUGUGAGCAGUGGGUGGCACGAUUAGGGUUGUUAGUAUUUUUCUUAUUACUGAUCUAACCAUGAUGCAUCACCGAAUUCCACACAGUAAGAUAAGUCAGAGGUUAGCCUGUUUGCUGUUCAUUUAACAAUGACUGAGACUGGAUGAUUUUUAAAGAACCUCAUUUUGGUACCCAGUUGUGGAGACUGCAUAGUAUAAUCUGGACAACCACAGCACCCCUGACUGGUGAGCACCCCUGACUGUAAUCCUAGCAGAGAAUGAGAAAGCUGCACAUAGCAACUUCCCCACACAAGGACUACGUGAAUCAACAUGUAAGGGUCACGCACCUCUAACUAGACCACCUCACUACACUGUAUUGAGAAACCGGGCUUCUACCACGUGGGUUUUGGUGAGGACAUACACAGUCAGACCAUUGCAGAAUUUUAAAGGCAGGCUAAGAUUAGACUGUUAUUAAUUAGUGUGUAGUGUCUGUGUGCUUGCAAAGACCAGAAAUUAAUCAUCGGGUGCCUUCCUUUUUGGCUCCGAGACGGUCUUUUACUGAUCCCAGAGCUCAGUGUUCGGCUGGAUUAGAUCUCCGGCAAGCUCCAGGGACCCAUCCGUUCCUCUGGCUCGAGACUCAUGUCCUCAUGAACAUUUGGCAUUUUACCAACCAAGCCAUCUCUCCAUUCCCAGGAUUAAAAAUCUUAAUGCAAGUUUUUCUUGUGUAGUCUGACAAGUUUUCUUACCGUCCUGUCUGUGUCCUAAGCAUGGUUAGUAGUAAAUGGAAUGAUAAAGUACACCGCAGAACAUCUGAUGGUUUGUAAGACCUUUAGUAAUGGCGAUGCUUCUGGCAUUCAGUGUGUCGGAAUUCAUCCUGUCUAACCCCGUCCGUUUGUCUCCAGAUCCGAAAUCUGUUCAGAAUUGCCUCCUCACCACUUCCUCGGCUCCACUGAGGUCCUGGGAUCCGGCUGGCUUUGCACUCUGUCCAGUACUGGAAUUACAGAUAUGCAUUCCAGACCCUAGCUUUUGUUUAGGUGGACGCCGACGAUCCAGACUCAGGUUUCAAGCUUAUUCAGCAAGGACUUUCCCCAGCCCGUGUUUCUGCAAGUUCUUAAGCAGUUCGCAGUUUUCAAAGUGAAUUCGCUUUUACAUGUUUCAGUUCCUGGCUGCAAAACAAAUCCCCCUGAACCUAGUCGCAUAAACAGUUGAUUUUUGCCUUCAGGUUGGCAGGUUAUCCAUUUCCCUGAAGCUAGGGUGUGUACAAUGGAGUCUGCUUUCAGACGAGUGAGGUGUCAGUUCCAGGCAGGCACAGCAGGGACUUGCCUGCUUCAGACCUCAGCUGAAAGGCUGGAGUCUGAAAUCGGAAGGCGUUUUGCUCACAGUUUGGUAGUUCAUAAUGAUAUCAGCUGGGGACCUUGGUUGCUCUCUGCAUGAUUCUGUCUGUGCUGUAUCUCUAACUUAGGCUUCUCUGCGGCAUGGUGACCACACUCCAGAGUUGAUGUUUCUUGGUGGAGGGUGUAGGCAGGCAGAGAACCCCCAACACACACAAACACACACACACACACACACACACACACACACACACACAAACAAACACACACACACUCCCCUCCCCCCAUGUUGGAGGACUGCUCUCGAGCUCGCUCGAGCUCGCGCUCUCUCUCUCUCUCUCUCUCUCUCUCUCUCUCUCCCCCUCCCUCUCCCUCUCUCCAUGUUGGAGGACUGCCCGUCACAUGGAAAUAAGAUAUAGUACAUGGUGAUGGCAGUUUUCUCCAAUCUGCCAUAUUGCUGUCCCUGAUUUUAAGCUGCUCUGUGAAGUAGAUCUUACAGGUCACUUUACUGAUGGAAACUAUAAGAAAACUCACCAGUGAGCUCCGGUUCCUCCACUUUGUUGGCAUAGUUGAUUGCCUUGAAGAUAAAUGUACAUUCUCUAUUACAGAGAUGUAGGGUAAAAUAUGUAUGAGAUACCUAUCAAAUUAAAAUAUUGACUGAUAAAGACCAA